rnacentral:rRNA from 1 species
UACGUAGGGUGCAAGCGUUAAUCGGAAUUACUGGGCGUAAAGCGUGCGCAGGCGGCUUUGCAAGACAGAUGUGAAAUCCCCGGGCUCAACCUGGGAACCUGCAUUUGUGACUGCAUGGCUAGAGUACGGUAGAGGGGGAUGGAAUUCCGCGUGUAGCAGUGAAAUGCGUAGAUAUGCGGAGGAACACCGAUGGCGAAGGCAAUCCCCUGGACCUGUACUGACGCUCAUGCACGAAAGCGUGGGGAGCAAACAGG